rnacentral:rRNA from 1 species
AUUGAACGCUGGCGGCAGGCCUAACACAUGCAAGUCGAGCGAGCGGCGGACGGGUGAGUAAUGUAUGGGGACUGCCUGAUAGAGGGGGAUAACUACUGGAAACGGUGGCUAAUACCGCAUACUAUCGGAUAACCCAUAUGGGAUUAGCUAGUAGGUGGGGUAAAGGCUCACCUAGGCGACGAUCCUCAGCUGGUCUGAGAGGAUGAUCAGCCACAGUUGAACUAGGACACGGUCCAGACUCCUACGGAGCGAGCAGGGGGGAAUAUUGCACAAUGGGCGCAAGCCUGAUGCAGCCAUGCCUCGUGUAUGAAGAAGGCCUUAGGUUUGUAAAGUAAUUUCAGCGGGGAGGCGUUGCCCGCAGAAGAAGCACCGGCUAACUCCGUGCCAGCAGCCGCGGUAAUUC